rnacentral:snRNA from 1 species
AUCUCUUUGCCUUUUGGCUUAGAUCAAGUGUAGUAUCUGUUCUUUUCAGUGUAACAACUGGAAUUCCCUCGCCAUGAGGGUUUUAUUGUUACUUUCACUUUUUGGAAUAUGAUUGCCAACCUGACAGGUUCAGAUUUAUCUGACUUGUCGACUGGCGUUGUGUCGUUGCCCUUACACUGUUUGGCUUCUGACGCUCUACGAG